UACGUAGGGUGCGAGCGUUGUCCGGAAUUAUUGGGCGUAAAGAGCUCGUAGGCGGCCUGUCGCGUCGGUUGUGAAAGCCCGGGGCUUAACCCCGGGUCUGCAGUCGAUACGGGCAGGCUAGAGUUCGGUAGGGGAGAUCGGAAUUCCUGGUGUAGCGGUGAAAUGCGCAGAUAUCAGGAGGAACACCGGUGGCGAAGGCGGAUCUCUGGGCCGAUACUGACGCUGAGGAACGAAAGCGUGGGGAGCGAACAGG
rnacentral:rRNA from 1 species